CAACCCUUAAGCCCUGCUUAGUGUUGGGAGCCUGCUUACCCUGUAGCUCCUGAAAUUUAUUGGCGGAGCUGUGGUAGUCUCUGAGCGUAGUAGUUUACACCUCGCUUUUGUAGUUACUGCAGCCUUAGCCGUUAAACCCCUAAUUUUUAUUGG
rnacentral:misc_RNA from 1 species